rnacentral:lncRNA from 1 species
CUAGGUUAUCUGCUGUAUGGAUCUUCUGUAUAUCCACACUUCCUUCCUCCACCUUCUCUCGAACAAAGUGAUAUUGAACUCGAAUAUGCUUUGUCCUCUGAUGAAAUGCUAGAUUCUUUGCCAAAUGCAAAGUGCUCUGACUAUCACAAAAUAGAGCAAUCUUCUCUAGUUUGUGUCCGAGCUCCUCCAUUAUCAUUUGCAACCAGAUUGCCUCUUUACUGGCUUGUGUAGCUGCCACGUAUUCUGCCUCUGUAGUAGAAGUAGCCACGAUAGACUGCAGUUUCGAAACCCAGCUUACAGCUCCUCCAGCAAGAGUAAACACAUAUCCUGUGGUGGAUUUGCUUUUAUCAAGAUCACCUGCAUAAUCUGAAUCAACAUAGCCUCUGACAAUAAAGUCUGAUCCUCCAUAACAUAAUGUAGCAUUUGAGGUACCCUUGACAUAUCUCAGGAUCCUCU